UUAGAUAUGAUUCUGGAGUUUUGGACUUGAAACUUGCUUCUUUUCACGGGGUUGGGAUAGAUCAGUGUACUGUUGUCAAGCUUGUUUGUGCGAGUCCUCAUCUUUUGAUUGGGAAUGUACACAAGGAAUUUUUUCAAGUUUUUGAGGAAUUAAAGAAAACAGGAGUUGAAUAUAGUUGGAUUGAGGAGCAAUUGAAUGGAAAUUUCGUAGAUUG
rnacentral:misc_RNA from 1 species